rnacentral:lncRNA from 1 species
GCAUUGGUUUUGGACAAUUUGGAGUUUUUAUGACUUUGUAAGAGCUUUACAAAGUGAGGUUUGUUUUUGGAUGACUUGGGGGUUUGUGAAAUAAAAUAAGAUUGAUGUUUUUAGUAAUUUCAAGAGUUUUGUAUUAGAUCUACAAGUCAAAUUUUGUGUAUUAAUGGUCAUAAUUGUGUUUAAUAUGUGUUGUAAAUUUUAGCUUGAUCUAACGGUUGAAUUGAGGAUUAUUGAAUUUUAAGUGAGUCAAGGUCUUAGAAAGUAGAAUUUUAGGUCUAAUGAGGGUUUUUAAGAUUUUUUGUAAUCUAUUAGUUGGAUUGGAGUGAAAUUUGUGUGAGAGGAUAUUAGACUUAUUUUUUAUUUAUAAGAAAAUUUUGAGAUCAAUCGUAUGGUGAAAAAGAGAGAUAUUAGCUCUAGGAGAUUAGCAUCAAGGUUGAAGAAGGAGGCUAGCCAAUAUGCCAACACGUUUUUGAAGUUAUCGUCUAUUUGAUAAUUUCGAUCCUUUUCAAAAAAUUUGUACUUGUUUUCAACUUAGUUUUUAAAAAGUGUGCAAAAUUUGAGUUAAGAUCAAUGGUUCAUUCAUUAGAUAUUGAGGUUUAAUUCUGAUGUAGAAAUUACUAAAGUUUGGUUAGGAUUUGAUUUAGGGUUAGGGUAUGGUGAGGGUUUGAUUUAGAGUUAGGAUUUGGUUAGGGAUUGAUUUAGGAUUUAGGAUUAGGAUUAGGAUUUGAUUAGGAUGUGAUUUAGGAUAAGGAUUUGGUUCGGAUUUGGUUAGGGUUUGAUUUAAGAUUAGGAUUUGGUUUAGGGUUUAGGAUUUGAUUAGGAUUUGAUUUAGGAUUAGAGUUUGGUUUAGGAUUUAGGAUUUGAUUAGGAUUUGAUUUAAGGCUAAGGUUUGAUUUAGGAUUAGGAUUUGGUUAGGAUUUGAUUUAGUAUAAGGAUUUGGUUAGGAUUUGAUUCAGGAUUAGGAUUUAGGAUUUGGUUAGGAUUUAAUUUAGGAUUAGGAUUAGAGUUUAGUUAGGAUUUGAUUUAGGAUUAGGAUUUAAGAUUUGGUUAAGAUUUGAUUUAGAAUUAGGAUUUGAUUUAGAGUUUAAGAUUUGGUUAGGAUUUGAUUUAAGAUUAGGAUUUGGUUUAGGAUUUAAGAUUUGGUUAGGGUUUGGUUUAGGAUUAAGGUUUAGUUAGGAUUUGAUCAAGAUUUGAUUUAGGAUUUAGGGUUUUAUUUGAGUUGAUUUAGGAUUUAAGAUUUAGUUAGUUUUUGGCCUAAAGUUUGAAUGAGGUAAGAUUUCAACUAGGAUUAAAUUAAGAUUGAAUUGAGAUUUAUUUGAAAUAUAUUUGUAAUCAUUCUAAUAUUUCUUUAAGAUUUCUUAUUAUUUCUUUGAAAUUAUUUUGAGGUUUCUUUGAAUUUGAUUAAAUCUUGUUUAGGAUUGUUAGUGUUCUAUUAGAAUUAAGAUUUUGUUGUUGUAAUUUCCAUUCUACCUUCUACAGAGCAUUCUCAAGCAAGACUUCACAUAUUACGAUAUAUUUGGUGAAUCUAACGUAAAACGCUUGAGGUUGAAAGAAUUUGGUUUUCUUCGAUUAUUUGAAUUUUAAAAAAGGAAG